GGAAUAUUGCACAAUGGGGGCAACCCUGAUGCAGCAAUGCCGCGUGAGUGAAGAAGGCUUUCGAGUUGUAAAGCUCUUUUCUAGGCGAAGAGAGAGGACGGUAGCCUAGGAAUAAGUCCCGGCUAACUACGUUCCAGAAGCCGCGGUAAAACGUAGGGGGCGAGCGUUAUCCGGAGUUACUGGGCGUAAAGCGCGUGUAGGCGGAAUGGCAAGUUGGUUGUGAAAGCUCCCGGCUUAACUGGGAGAGGUCAAUCAAAACUGCCAAACUUGAGUGAGGUAGAGGAAAGCGGAAUUCCUGGUGUAGUGGUGGAAUGCGUAGAGAUCAGGAGGAACACCAGUGGCGAAAGCGGCUUUCUGGGCCUCAACUGACGCUGAGAUGCGAAAGCGUGGGUAGCGAAC
rnacentral:rRNA from 1 species